AAAUAUAUUAAAUUUUUUAAAAUAAAUAUGAAUGUUUAUAAUAUAUAAUUUUUUAUUAUUUUUUACUAACAAUCUAUAGUAGGGGUGGAUAUUAAAUCAAAUUUAGAUAAAUUUGAACCUAUCAAAAUUUAUUUAGAUCAAAUUUAAAUUAACCUCCAAAUUCGAUCGGAUAAAAAAUUUACAAUCUAAUCAGAUUUGAUUCGGAUCGGUUCAGACCCAGAUCAAUCCGAUUGGAUUGCCAUUUGCAAUUAAAAUAUAUAUAUAUGUUACUAAAUUAUAAAUAAAAAAUAAAAGUUAAAUAGUAGCCCUAAACUAAAUCCUUAAAAUCCCAAAUUACAAAGAAUAAAAGAAGCCUUUGCAGCCGCAUAAACCCAGAAUCGAAGAAGCACUUGCUGGCUGCAGCAGCACAAACCCAGCUCUUACAGGCUGCAGUAGCACGAAACCAGCCAAAGGAUCAGAGAACCACUUGUAGCUGAUGAACCCGUCUUUGAGUCUCAAGUCGUCGAUGCCUUAGCUGCAUGCCAACGACGUCAGCCGCUAAGGCCGUGAGCCGCACGUUGCUACGCUUCCGGCUAAAGCCACAACAGAAGUUGAAGUCCCAAACCCAGCCGCUGCAUUUAUUUCUUUAUUGCAAGGGUUUCCAAUGGAAUUGGAUCUAUCAAAGCUUGUGAGGUGCAGAGAAAUAAGAAUAGAUAUUUAUCUUUCGAAAAAUUACAGAGAUUUGGGUCUUUUGACUUUCAAUUUUUGUCUUUCUUUUCUCCAUUUGCUGGCUUGCUGCAUUUGUUCUUAUUUGUGUGAUUUCAAUUUUGUAUUACAACUUGAAAAUGACUUGGAUUCAUCUGAUUUAUUUGAGCAAUUUCAAUAUGAUAUUACUAAUCCGAAUCCGAAUUAAUCUAAACUAUUCAUCCGAUCCGAACUUAUUCGAAUCGAUUUUGAAUUCGGAUUACAUUCGGAUGACUUUUUUACCAAUCCGAACAAUCCGAAAUCCGAUCGGAUUGAAUCGAAUCCGAUCGGAUUGAAUCGAAUCCGAUCUGUAUCUGAAUUUGCCCACCCCUAAUUUGUAGCUCUUCUAUAACUUUCAUUAUCUCACAAAAAAUGAUGAUCCAUAAUGUUUCUAUUAAUUUUAUAGAGUAAUUAUGUCACUAUAAAAUGAAAGCUUAUCGCUUUAUUUUAUAUACACUUGAAAU
rnacentral:lncRNA from 1 species